GAUGAACGCUGGCGGCGUGCUUAACACGUGCAAGUCGAACGGUGAACGAGGGAGCUUGCUCCCUCCGGAUCAGUGGCGAACGGGUGAGUAACACGUGAGCAAUCUGCCCUGGACUCUGGGAUAAGCGUUGGAAACGACGUCUAAUACCGGAUACGAGGCGUGGGGGCAUCCCCAACGCCUGGAAAGAACUUCGGUCCAGGAUGCGCUCGCGGCCUAUCAGCGAGUUGGUGAGGUAACGGCUCACCAAGGCGACGACGGGUAGCCGGCCUAAGGGGACGAUCAGCCACACUGGGACUGAGACACGGCCCAGACUCCUACGGGAGGCAGCAGUGGGGAAUCUUGCGCAAUGCGCGAAAGCGUGACGCAGCAACGCCGCGUGAGGGAAGAAGGCCUUCGGGUUGUAAACCUCUUUCAGGAGGGACGAAGGUUCAGGCGCGAAUAGCGUCCUGGACUGACGGUACCUCCAGAAGAAGCCCCGGCUAACUAC
rnacentral:rRNA from 1 species